GUUCCCUAGUCUUCAUCCAUCCGAGCCUUUCCCCUUUCUUCCUCUCUCGCUCGAAUUGCCGCAAAUGCUGCCACCACCUCCUCUCCUUCGAUAGCCGGAGUUGGGUCUGCCGUCAAGCUCCUUGAGUUGCCCUCCCUUGCACGGGCUACCUUCGGCCAUGAGCAGGGAGGUGUCAUUCUCUCACACGCGGCACAGCCUUGCGUGACCUAGCAUCGUCGAAGUCACCGACCUGGAUGCACAUCGAGCCGUGCCACACGAGGACAGAUCGGUGAUGUCGUAGUCGUCUCUGUUGCGAAGGUGAGCUGUCAGAUUCCUCUCGAUCUUGAUCCGAUCAUCGCCAUCAUUCGCCCCUUUCUUGUCGCUGUCUGGUUCUGAGAUGCAACGGCCAAAGUUGUCGUAGGAGGCAACGUCGAGGGCCAUUGGGAGAGAACGGAGCCCUCCAUUGCCGCUCCCUUCGUUUCUCCCUCUUGCCGAGAGCCCCAUUCUGUCCGAGUGGUUGUUGUUGCUGUAGGAAUGUCGUCUUUGGCCAUCAUUCAGAGGCUGCCAAAUCCUUGUUUCAACUACUCUUUGGCCACAAGAUCCAGUGUCGGAUCUUUCUUCUCCAUCCGACGAGGAGUCAAACACUAGUUGAGCAGAUACGGAUCUGAGAGGGAGCUCAGAUUCUUUACAACAACUUUGAGUUUUCUUCGUCGAAGGGUUGCAGAUCUAUUUUGGGGGUAACAAGUGAAGGGAGUGGGAGGGGCAGCAGUAGCUCUCUAGUGGUGGUCGUGAAACACCAUCAACUAUCUCCGGAUUUGGCACCUUCAUCUUGCUUCGAUCAUCACUAUGCAUGGGAAAUCCAUAGCUUGGGCUACCAUUUCCGACAGCAAGAUCUUCAGCCGUGAGAUAAUAGGGGCGCAACCAAAUUAAGGAUACUAGUCGGAGACACAUCUCGACGUGACAUUAUCUAUUAUGAUCGGCAGAUAAAUGCGGGUAGUAGGUAAAGGAUUUAUGGAGUUGCCUAGCGAUCCUGUCCGUUAGUCCCAAGUCAUAUCGAGCUUCUCCUUUCGUUAGUGUUUCCUUUCGCAUUGUUGGUUUUGUACUUGUUCUUGUAUUUGUGUAUUCUUUUAUAUGAAAUUUUGUUUUGUGGUAUCUUGUAUUUGGUUGGGUGAUGAUGUGUCAAGCCGAGCCGGCUCGCAGUAGUUGUUUUGUUCGUUUCAUGUUCGUUAUUUUGUGAUUUUCACUAUACUAUGUUUCAGUCGAGUGGGUUGCAUUAUUAACUGCGUAGUUAUGUUAUGCUUCAGCCGUGUGGGUUGCAUUAUUAACUGCGUGGUUCUGUGUAUAUUCCAGCCGUAUGUGGCUGAUGUAUUUUGUAUGUAUGUAUGCCUCAAAUUAUCACCGGUACAGGGGAGAUGUCGAAAUUUUUCGGUAGGGACUCCUUUAGGAGCAUGAUAAUAUUUGUUAUACUACUUCCUUCCAUUUUAUACUCGAUUCACUCUUCUGUCGGUUCUGGAAGAGGAUUUUAGUAGAUUUUCCAUCGAUACGAUCCGAGAAAUUAUGGGUCUUGGAGUAGGAGUCGCUAAAGACUCCGAAUCAAGUAACCGAUCACAUACUUAUGUUUCCUUACUUCAUUUGUUUUAAUUCAUCUGUGUACUCAUUUUCAAAAUAGUAAAAAGACUAGGUUUUUUUUUUU